rnacentral:lncRNA from 1 species
GUAAAAGUGGAGAGAGGUGACGUUGUUUUCGGCUAUAAACAAUCACAUUUACUGUUUAGUUUGUCGUAAUAAAGUUACCGUCGAAGCUUGAGUUAUCUGCAAUAGGAUAAUUAACUUUGGCGCACCCUGUGCCGAAGUCAAUUAUGGUAAAAAAAAGUGAAGAAAAAAUAAUAAAAUAAUAUAAUGGAGAAUGCUAGUCAUAUUUACAUCUAUUUAAGGGAAAACUUCAAAUACCACCCAUGUGGUUUCAUACUUUCUCACUUUAAUACCAUAUGGUUUAAAGUAUAUCAAUUUAGUGCCAUGUGGUUUUAUUUUUAUUUUUUUAUUAUCGAUUCCACUAAUUUUUUUCGUUAAAUCAGUGAUAAAGUUAAAACUAAAGGGUGUUAAAGUGCAUAUUCGAUAAACCUAGGUGGGGUAUUUGAAAAGCUGAUCUCCUCCCUAAUGUUGUCGUAAUGGAAGGGCAGCGAGGGUGCAAGAAGAACAGGGAACAGGUGGAGGAAGUGAAGUCGGAGCCGGGUCGAGGGAGCCGCGAAGGACGGAGGAAGGGAGCAGGAUUGGGGAGGAGACAAAGAGGGUGGGGGAAUUUGGUCAUUUUGUCAUCAUAGUUAACUCUGUAUCCUCCUGUGAAUAUUUUUUAUUUUUUAAGGGAGCAAAGUGUAGGUUUUUAAAUGACAUGGGGGGAAAUGUGAAAAAUUAGGUUUUAAUGGGAGGUUUUUUGUAAUUUAGCCAUAUAUGUAUAUAGUUGAGCUAAAAUGCUAUUAGUGGCAAAUGGAUUCCGUUACCACCCAUUUGUUUUUUAUGAUUGAACCUCAAAAUCAACGAUCGUCACCGUUGAACAUGAUGUAUACCACUUGAAUCAUGAAGAAAUCAAAUUUCAUACAAUUCCGAUAUUAUUCUUUUGUUCAUCAAGUAGAUACAAAAAAUGAACGGCUAAAAAUAAAUAUCUUUUAAAAAGUGAUGAUAGAAAUUUUGUAAUCAAGAUCAAGAGUAUAGAUCUUGUUUUAAAUAGGUUAAAGAGUUUUCUAAUCAAAAUUCAAUUAAUUUGGAUAUCUUUAUGUCGUUAAAUGAGAAAACAUUUCAUAUUGAUCAUUAAAAUUACAAAAUUUGAAACUUUUUCAUCAUUAGGUCAAGGAUAUUGAAAAAAAUUUGAAAUCUGGCUUCUAAAUCUUUCAAGUGGUAUAGAUCAUGUUCAACGAUGUCGAUCGUUAAUUUGAUUUGGAGGUUCUAUCAUUGAAAACAAAUAGGUGACAACGAAAUCUGUUUGCUACUGAUAGCAUUUCUGCUCAACUCUAUAAAAUACACACACAUAUAUAGAGCUAAGCUGGUAUACUAUCGGUAGCACGGAGGCCCCCGUACUACAAGUUGUUUUCAAUGAUGUAGCUUCGAAAUCGACUAUCAUCUCCGUUAAAUUUGAUCUACACUAUUAAAAGCAUUUGAAAAUUAAAUUUCAUAAUUUUUCAACAUCAUUACCUAUCAAACGAGUUGUCUAAAAAUACACUGCUGAAAAUAAAAAUCUCACAAAAAAUAAUGAUAAAAGACUUGAAUUUAAGAUCAGAAAUACUGAUCUUACUCUAAAUAGUGAAAAGAAUUUUCUAUAAAAGUUUCAUCAGAUUUAGAUUGUUUUACAUCGUUAAAUUUAUAAAUGUAUCACAUCAUCUAUUAAAAUUGUCAAUUUUGAGACAUUUUGAUCACUAGCCAAAUGAUGUCGAAAAAUUAUAAAAUUUAGUUUCCAAAUACUUUUAAUAGUAUAGAUCAAGUCUAACGGAACCGAUCGUCGAUUUGGAAGCCGCAUCAUUGAAAACAACUUGGUAGCACAGAGGUCUCCGUGCUACCGAUAGUAUACCAGCCUCUCUCUCUCUUUCUCUCUAUCUCUCUUUCUUUCUCUCUCUCUCUCUCUAUAGAGUCCGACUACUAUACUUUUAUGAGUAUAGUAUUUUUUAUACUCAUAAGUUUUCGGCCAUUAGAUCUACCUUUUUGACCAUUUUUAUCCGUUAGAUUAUACUAUUUAACCAACCAGCUACUCAACCCUAAAAGACCACUAUCAUCCUAACCGGGGACUACUAUCAUCCUAGCUGCACAUCAAUUCAUCCAACGGCCGAAAAUUUAAAAGUACAAAGGGCUCUAUAUUCAUAAGAGCAUAAUAACUGUACUCUCUAUAUAUAUAUGCUAGGGCUACUAUACUCUUAUGAGUAUAGAGCCCUUCGUACUCAUAAGUUAUUUUCGAUGUUGGAGCUUCCAAAUUGACGAUCCAUUCAGUUAAAUAUGUUCUAGAGUAUUUGAAACUUCUAAAAAAUAAAUUUCGUAAUUUUUUGAAAUUAUAAUAAAAUUCAUCAAGCGGGUAUAAAAUGAACGGUCAAAAUCAAAUGACGUCUUAAAAAUGGAUGAUCGGAUUCUUUAAUUUAAGAUCGGAGUUAUUGAACUUUAUAUAGGUAGUGAAUAGAAUUUUCUAUCAAAAAUUCAACCGAUUUCGAUUCUUUUAUAUCGUUAAACUAGCAAGUAUUACAUACUGGCCGUUAAAAAUUGUUAAUUUUGAGAUCUUUUGAUUAUAAGGUAAUGAUGUCAAAAAAAUAUCAAAUUUGAUUUUUAGAAGUUUUAAAUGUUUUAGAUAAUAUUUAACAGUAUGGAUCGUCGAUUCGAAAUUUUUAUCUUAAAAAAUGACUUAUGAGUACGAAAACGAUCGUACGACUCUCUCUAAAUAUAUAUAUAUAUAUAUAUAUAUAUAUAUAUAUAUAUAUAUAUAUAUAUAUAUAUGUGUGUGUAUGU